rnacentral:pre_miRNA from 1 species
CUAGUCGUAGCCGAUGUUCCACAGCAGGGGGCCCAGGACAGACCCCUGCGGAACACCGCGCUGGACGGG